rnacentral:misc_RNA from 1 species
ACAAAAGAUGCAUUUGAUCUGAAGAAGACUGCUCAAGAGGCACAACGUUUGGCUGAAGCAGUUGGUGCAGGAAUGGGAGGCUCUGUACAAGGUUUUAUGAAGAGGGUCUUCACAGGCUGAAUAUAGUUUGCAGUGACUAAUAUGAUCUUAUAGGUGUGGUGGUUCACAAAAUAAAAAUUAUAAUUUGUGUCUAUCGGCAGAAAUGCUAAUUUAGAUUAGCAGUAAUCGAUGGGCAUGCUGUUGCCAUUUUGGCGUUAGAAAUGCUUGUACAUGAGAAUAUCUUUUGUUGGCAAAAUAUGCUUGUAUCUUUCUCCGAUUCAUCUUUCUUUCCCUUUUUCUUUUUUCCUCUGGAUAGUCAAG